CGAGCACGCGCGUGUGGCAUAUCAAUAAGCGGAGGAAAAGAAACUAACAAGGAUUCCCUUAGUAACGGCGAGUGAAGCGGGAAGAGCUCAAAUUUGAAAUCUUCAAGGUUCUACCUUGACGAAUUGUAGUUUAUAGAAGUGUUUUCUGUUAGUGGAGUGGCAAAAGUUCUUUGGAAUAGGACAGUCAUAGAGGGUGAGAAUCCCGUAUUUGGUCAUUCCUCCUAGCGUUGUGAUACACUUUCAACGAGUCGGAUUGUUUGGGAAUGCAGUCCAAAAUGGGUGGUAAAUUUCAUCUAAAGCUAAAUAUUGGCGAGAGACCGAUAGCGAACAAGUACCGUGAGGGAAAGAUGAAAAGAACCUUGAAAAGAGAGUUAAACAGUACGUGAAAUUGUCAAAAGGGAAGCGUUUGACACCAGUGUUGUUUUUCCGAAAAUCAAUUACGAAUGUUUUGUUUUUGAGGAGUUAUGACUUCAUCGGCUUGCUCCUUUUCUUUACUGAAACUUUCUUAAUGCACUUUUCGGUUAACAAGUCAACAUCAAUUUCUUUUGUUGUAAAAGGGUACUGAGGAAGGUGGCUUUCUUUUCGGAGAAAGUGUUUAUAGCCUUGUGCCUCUGCAAUCGGAGAGAUUGAGGUCUGCAGCGUAGAUCCUUCGGGGUUAGAUACGUUUGUGCUAAGUUAUAGCUUUUCAUAGACAACUUGUUGACUAUGUUUAGUCUUGUAGCUUACUCGCUGACGCUAUUUUACCUACGCUUAGGAUGUUGAGCGCAUGUCUCUCUCU
rnacentral:rRNA from 1 species